GUGCUGGCUCCAGCAGCACAUAUCCUAAAAUUGGAACUACACAGAGAAAAUUAACAUGGCCCCUGCACAAGGAGAACAUGCAAGUUCGUGAAGGAGUAAAUAUUUUU
ensembl:snRNA LOC120103200 U6 spliceosomal RNA